rnacentral:rRNA from 1 species
ACAGCAGUCGCCGCGGUAAUACGGAGGGUGCAAGCGUUAUUCGGAAUUACUGGGCGUAAAGCGCACGCAGGCGGUUGCCCAAGUCAGAUGUGAAAGCCCCGGGCUUAACCUGGGAACUGCAUUUGAAACUGGGCGACUAGAGCAUGAAAGAGGAAAGCGGAAUUUCCAGUGUAGCAGUGAAAUGCGUAGAUAUUGGAAGGAACACCGAUGGCGAAGGCAGCUUUCUGGGUCGAUACUGACGCUCAUGUGCGAAAGCGUGGGGAGCAAACAGGAUUAGAUACCCCUGUAGUCCCUGUCUCUUAUAC